rnacentral:rRNA from 1 species
GACGAACGCUGGCGGCGGGCUUAACACAUGCAAGUCGAACGGAAAGGCCCUGCUUGUGUGGGGUGCUCGAGUGGCGAACGGGUGAGUAACACGUGAGUAACCUGCCCUUGACUUUGGUAUAACUUCAGGAAACUGGGGCUAAUACCGUAUAGGAGCUCCUGCUGCAUGGUGGGGGUUGGAAAGUUUCGGCGGUUGGGGAUGGACUCGCGGCUUAUCAGCUUGUUGGUGGGGUAGUGGCAUACCAAGGCUUUGAAGGGUAGCCGGCCGGAGAGGGUGACCGGCCACAUUGGGACUGAGAGACGGAGCAGACUCCUACGGGAGGCAGCAGGGGGGAAUAUUGCACAAUGGGCGGAAGCCUGAUGCAGCAACGCCGCGUGCGGGAUGACGGCCUUCGGGUUGUAAACCGCUUUCGCCUGUGACGAAGCGUGAGUGACGGUAAUGGGUAAAGAAGCACCGGCUAACUACGUG